UUUCAUAAAAACUUAAUUUGAUAUUUAUUCUGUGCGUUGGUUAUUCGUGUGUUUGUGUGUUGCUUUCCAAACCCCAUACAGGAGAUCACUUUCCAGCGAGACGUGGCCUGCUCAAUAGCCCAGAUCUGAAGCUUAUUGCUUAAAAAACAUUGGAAGAGUACGAGUCUGUACCAAUGGGAUUGGAUAAGUUUUCGGAGCGCGUGCAGUCGGAGCAUGAUACCAUACCAUGCAAGCACAUACUAAAUUUAGUCGAGAGUAUAUCAAAACUUAUUCAGAAUGUGA